rnacentral:tRNA from 1 species
AGGGUAAUAGUUAAUAAAUAACAUUUGAUUUGCAUUCAAAAGAUAUUGAAAAGUUCAAUUUAUCUUA